AUUUGGCCACAUUGUCAUAAUGUGCAUUCCCAUUCUGGGUAAAUCUUUCCAUAUUAUGAACAUUUGGUAGAUUUACCUGUUCAACGACAUCCUGUGUGAGUUCUCCGAGCAACGCACGCAUGGUUCGAGGACUUAACUCUGUCAUUGGUUCGUAACGACUGUGACUGCUCUGACUCUGCCCCUCUGUUCGUGGAGAGCUUUGCCGCUUCUCAUAUCGCUCGAUCACAGACUGGACUCCUCCCUGAAUUGCUGCUUCCUUAUCAAAUUCGUGAGGCAUAUUGUUUCACCUUUUGUAUCUUCAACACCAAACACUAAGGUCCCACUGGGUGUACCAAAUUGUUUCGCGCGGGUAGUCGCUAACAAUUAAAAGGGAUCAGACGAUUGUGUAACGAACAAACCUCUUCAGACAAAGUCCCAAAAAGGAGUGUUUCAUUGACGAUGAUUUACAAUUGGAAAUAAACAGAAUGCCUCCAAGAGGUCCAAGCACACGAGUACUAAAAGAAGCGUUUAAGUUUAAACUAAGAAAUCGA
rnacentral:lncRNA from 1 species